CCUCAAAUCAGGUAGGACUACCCGCUGAACUUAAGCAUAUCAAUAAGCGGAGGAAAAGAAACUAACAAGGAUUCCCCUAGUAACUGCGAGUGAAGCGGGAAAAGCUCAAAUUUAAAAUCUGGCAUCCUCCGGGUGUCCGAGUUGUAUUCUGGAGAAGCGUCUUCCGCGCUGGACCGUGUAAAAGUCUCUUGGAACAGAGCAUCAUAGAGGGUGAGAAUCCCGUCUUUGACACGGACUACCAGGGCUUUGUGAUGCGCUCUCGACGAGUCGCGUUGUUUGGGAAUGCAGCGCUAAAUGGGUGGUAAAUUCCAUCUAAAGCUAAAUAUUGGCGAGAGACCGAUAGCGAACAAGUACCGUGAGGGAAAGAUGAAAAGAACUUUGAAAAGAGGGUUAAACAGUACGUGAAAUUGUUGAAAGGGAAACGCUUGAAGUCAGUCGCAUCUUUCAGAAAUCAACCUGACCUUUUGGUAUGGUGUACUUUCUGUUAUGAUGGGUCAGCAUCAAUUUUGAUCGUUGGAUAAAGGCUUUGGGAAAGUGGCAUCUCCGGAUGUGUUAUAGCCCUUGGUUACACAACGGUUGGGAUUGAGGAACUCAGUGCUUUGGCACUCAGGAUGCUGGCAU
rnacentral:rRNA from 1 species